rnacentral:rRNA from 1 species
GUGUGAGCGGUAUUCCACGCCGUUCGUGCCGCAGCUAACGCAUUAAGCACCCCGCCUGGGGAGUACGGCCGCAAGGCUAAAACUCAAAGGAAUUGACGGGGGCCCGAACAAGCAGCGGAGCAUGUGGCUUAAUUCGACGCAACGCGAAGAACCUUACCAAGGCUUGACAUACACCGAAAACUCGUAGAGAUACGGGGUCCGCAAGGGCGGUGUACAGGUGGUGCAUGGUUGUCGUCAGCUCGUGUCGUGAGAUGUUGGGUUAAGUCCCGCAACGAGCGCAACCCUCGUUCUACGUUGCCAGCGGGUUAUGCCGGGGACUCAUAGGAGACUGCCGGGGUCAACUCGGAGGAAGGUGGGGACGACGUCAAAUCAUCAUGCCCCUUAUGUCUUGGGCUGCACACAUGCUACAAUGGCCGGUACAAAGGGCUGCUAAACCGCGAGGUGGAGCGAAUCCCAAAAAGCCGGUCUCAGUUCGGAUUGGGGUCUGCAACUCGACCCCAUGAAGUCGGAGUUGCUAGUAAUCGCAGAUCAGCAACGCUGCGGUGAAUACGUUCCCGGGCCUUGUACACACCGCCCGUCACGUCACGAAAGUCGGUAACACCCGAAGCCAGUGGCCCAACUCGUGAGAGAGGGAGCUGUCGAAGGUGGGGCUG